rnacentral:rRNA from 1 species
UGGGGAAUAUUGCACAAUGGGCGCAAGCCUGAUGCAGCCAUGCCGCGUGUGUGAAGAAGGCCUUCGGGUUGUAAAGCACUUUCAGCGGGGAGGAAGGCGAUAAGGUUAAUAACCUCAUCGAUUGACGUUACCGACAGAAGAAGCACCGGCUAACUCCGUGCCAGCAGCCGCGGUAAUACGGAGGGUGCAAGCGUUAAUCGGAAUUACUGGGCGUAAAGCGCACGCAGGCGGUUGAUUGAGUCAGAUGUGAAAUCCCCGGGCUUAACCCGGGAAUUGCAUCUGAUACUGGUCAGCUAGAGUCUUGUAGAGGGGGGUAGAAUUCCAUGUGUAGCGGUGAAAUGCGUAGAGAUGUGGAGGAAUACCGGUGGCGAAGGCGGCCCCCUGGACAAAGACUGACGCUCAGGUGCGAAAGCGUGGGGAGCAAACAGG